rnacentral:rRNA from 1 species
AUGGCGUCGCCUCUCGAGUACGCUGUCGCCGUGCUGCAGGCGCGGCUCCUCCAGGCGGCGGAAGACGGCGACCUCCCCCUCUUCAAGAGGACGGCGAGGGCGCUGGACGGCGGGAAGGGCCGCCUGAGGGAGGCGGUGGAGGGCGCGACCGCGAGUAAUUGCGGCGCCCGGGCUUUGCACGUCGCCGCCGUUCACGGGAGGAUGCCCGUGUGCGCCUACCUGGUCGAGGACCUCCAGGUGAAUGUCGAUGCCACCGACGAGUCAGGCGAGACAGCUCUGAGUUAUGCAGCUGUUAAUGGAACUGUGAAUGUUGUGCGCUAUCUUCUUGAUCACGGUGCCAAUCCAGAUAAGUCUGGUCCUGGAAACCGUACUCCUCUCCACAUGGCGGUUGCAAAAGGGAAUUGUGAAAUAGUAAAGGUUUUGCUGUCAAAAGGAGCUGAUGUCAAUUGUUAUUCUGACUCGGGGACGCCACUGCAUAUUGCUGCUGUAUUUGGGUUAGAUGGUGCUAUGAAGAUUUUGUUGGACCACCAUGCAGAUUGUAACAAAUCAGUUUGCAUCGCCGAUACACCUCUCAUUGUUGCUCUCCUAGCUCACCGGCGGAAAUGUGUGAAGCUUCUGAUUAAGGCUGGUGCUGAUUUGAAUGGUCUUGGCAGUGCUGAUCCCGUAAUAGUUGCUAUAGAUGAGGGUUUAACUGAUUGUCUCAAGUGCUUACUAAAUGCUGGCGCUGAUCCCAAUGUCCUUGAUGAUUUUGGACGCCUGCCAAUUGAAGUUGCUGCAUCUCAGAAUAGCCGGGAAGACGUUGAGAUCCUAUUUCCAGUAAGUUCUUGCAUUCCAUCGGUGCUUGAUUGGAGCAUUGAUGGGAUAAUGGCUUACGUAAAAUCAAAAGAGAAGGAUGACCCUAUUUUAAAAAUGAAUCCAGCUAAUAUGAAGAUAGAAGGAAACAAAGCAUACAAGAGAAAAGACUAUAUUACUGCAGCAAGGCUCUACACCAUGGCAGAAGGUGACUACCCAGAGAAUGUAACAUUGAUUUCAAAUAGAAGCGUUUGCUGGCUUAAAAUGGGUGAAGGAGACAAAGCUUUGCGGGAUGCUCAAAUUUGCAGGGCACUGCGUCGUGACUGGCCGAAGGCCUGCUUCCGGGAAGGGGCUGCUCGAAUGCUGUUAAAGGACUAUGAAAAGGCAUGUGAUGCAUUCCUUGAUGGCCUCAAAUUAGACCCAGGGAACACUGAGAUUGAGAACGCCUUGAGGGAGGCUUUCCAUUCCUUGGAGAUAUCACAUUCUGUCAAAAAGGGCCACUGA